GUGAGGAAUAUUGCGCAAUGGAGGCAACUCUGACGCAGCCAUGCCGCGUGCAGGAAGAAGGCGCUACGCGUUGUAAACUGCUUUUAACCGGGAAGAAACCCCAGGACGUGUCCUGGGUUGACGGUACCGGAGGAAUAAGCACCGGCUAACUUCGUGCCAGCAGCCGCGGUAAUACGAAGGGUGCAAGCGUUAUCCGGAUUCAUUGGGUUUAAAGGGUGCGUAGGCGGAGCGUUAAGUCAGUGGUGAAAUCCUGCAGCUUAACUGUAGACUUGCCAUUGAUACUGGCGCUCUUGAGUGCGCUUGAAGUGGGCGGAAUGUGCCGUGUAGCGGUGAAAUGCUUAGAUAUGGCACAGAACACCAAUUGCGAAGGCAGCUCACUAAGGCGAUACUGACGCUGAGGUACGAAAGCAUGGGGAUCGAACAGGAUUAGAAACCCGUGUAGUCC
rnacentral:rRNA from 1 species